AUGAUGCCAUUUUUGUAUCUAGACUUACACCAGUCUAAAUCUCUUGAAAAUUUUACUGCAUGAUUCAGCUUAGAACACUUACCAUUCUUCUUCCUAUUAUUAUCUUCUUCUUCGUCUUCUUCUUUUUCCUGCUUCAGUUCUCGGUUUUCUUCUGAACUAAAGGAUCUUAAGCACUGUCCUCCACUUUCGUUGCUGGCUCCACCCGCAUAAGAGACGAAUGUGACGAGGCUCCAACAGUGGCCUCCUUUCUUUCAGAUGAAAGGAGUUCGGAAGUGGCCGUCUUAACACCUUGAAAGGGCCUUUUGACCAUCUCUCUCAGGGAAGAAGAAUGUUGAUCAAAAUUUUCCGAUUUGGGCACUCAUGAUGGUACCGCUUUUUAACAACAAUUCUUUCUUUUUGCUGGCAAACAGUGAGCAUAAAGGCCCUCCCGAUCUGAUCUCCCUUUCGGCGCCAUUUUGGGCUUGAUCUGGCCGUUGGGCUCCCUUACGAAGCCACCGGACUCCUCUCUCCCAGCAUUGCUACUGGGUCAUCACCGACAUUCACCUCUUACCCUCCGAAGAUCGCUGGCCGGGCCUCUUCUUUACCCCCUCCUCUCUCUCUCUUUCUCGCUCCUUUUCCUUCCUCUCCUUCCAGCACUUAUACCAGCCCCUCUCCUAGUCAAGCAUCUCCCCAUCUCUACUCUCUUUGUUGCCGGACUGUUGUCACCGAUUAUUUUCAAUGGUGGGUCAGUCGUCGAACUUCUUUCUCUUCUCGAAACUGUUCCCUUUAGUGUGGCUGGCUGGACCAUCCUCCUCCUCUUUCUCCUCUGGCCCGAGGGUGAAAAAUAAUUUCUCCCUUCCUCUUCUCUCUUUCUUUCUCAAUGAUGGACAGCCGUUUGGUCUCCUCUCUUCAUUCCUUCCUCUCUGUGAUGCCCAGAUCCUAAUGAGUUUGUUGCGGAUUGGGCCAACGUGGGUGGCCAGCUAAAUGGAGCUUGGCCGGAUUCCCCUUGUCCCUUCUAAUGAUGGCCAGUUGGAUGGUCAACUGUAUUCACCCUCGGC
rnacentral:lncRNA from 1 species